rnacentral:lncRNA from 1 species
GCGGCAGGGGAUGAAGGCGGCGGGGGAUAGAGGCGGCAGGCGAUAAGGUUGAAGGGGGAUAAGGUUGAAAAGGAAGAUCUUCUUGAGGCGGCAGUGGAGAAGGUGGCCGCUUCCAAACAAUAGCUACAUCAUCCUUCGGAUACAUAGAGCCUUAGGCUCCCUUACUUGUCGUUCGUAUUCAUCGCUUAAGAUGCUAGUCAGCUGCAGGAUUUCGUGAAUGGGUUCUUGUCAGGUGUAUAGCUGUCUUAACGUGGCCAGACUUGCCUCAACCGCUGUAGUUAUUUUUACUGAAGUGAUACCAUAGAGAAUGAACUCUUCCGGAUUCCACUCAGGUUCGAACCUGAAUUCAAAUCUAAGCUAUGACGGUU